rnacentral:rRNA from 2 species
CCGUAGGUGAACCUGCGGAGGGAUC